AAUCAACGCUGGCGGCGUGCCUAACACAUGCAGGUCGAACGCGACUGGGGCUUCGGCCUCAGUUGAGUGGCGAACGGGUGAGUAACACGUGGGCGACCUACCUUCGAAUGGGGGAUAACGUCCCGAAAGGGACGCUAAUACCGCAUAACAUCCUGCCUUUGAACAGGCGGAGAUCAAAGCCGGGGAUCGCAAGACCUGGCGUUUGAAGAGGGGCCUGCGUCCGAUUAGCUAGUUGGGAGGUACGGCUCA
rnacentral:rRNA from 1 species